GAACAAAGGAAGGAGGAAGUAACUUGUGGAAUGCCAAGAUGUGCAGAAGGGAAAAUCGAAAGCCAAGUGACUUUGAGAAAAGGACAUACACUUCCAGCUUGAUGUGGACUCUGCGCCAUGCCAGUUCCCGUAAACGUCGACAGGUCUCAGUGGUGGUGACUUCAGGGUGCAUAUGGAUAGACAGGACACUUGGUCAGCCAGAAAGCUUGUGCUGCUGAGUGAAGAAGGCAGAUUUGGUGCAUUGGAAGACAGCAACUGCAGAUGCAGAGGAACUGGAAGGGAAUCACAGCUGGUCAUGCCAAAGGGGCAGCCCAACCUAUGUUCAUUCAGCAACCAUGGCAGUUUCUCUACAUCUGUUUUCAAUUCGAGCUCCAGGUCAUGUUUUUCAGUUAGAAUAAAAUGUGAAAACUAUAAAA